rnacentral:rRNA from 1 species
UGAACGCUGGCGGUAUGCUUUACACAUGCAAGUCGUACGAGAGUUUUUAACUCAAGUGGCGGACGGGUGAGUAACACGUAAGAAUUUGCCUUUAGGAGGGGGACAACAACUGGAAACGGUUGCUAAUACCCCAUAUGCUUUCGAGUGAAACGGUUUUUCCGCCUAAAGAGAAGCUCGCGGCUGAUUAGCUUGUUGGUAAGGUAAUGGCUUACCAAGGCGACGAUCAGUAUCUGGUUUGAGAGGACGACCAGACACACUGGAACUGAGACAGGGUCCAGACUCCUACGGGAGGCAGCAGUGGGGAAUUUUCCGCAAUGGGCGAAAGCCUGACGGAGCAAUACCGCGUGAAGGAAGACGGCCUAUGGGUUGUAAACUUCUUUUCUCAGGGAGGAACUCAAUGACGUGUACCUGAGGAAUAAGCAUCGGCUAACUCC